UAAAAUAAAAAAAAUAUAAAAAUAGUUACAAAACAAUAUAUCAUUUACAACGGUUUAUUAUAUAAAAAUAUUUUUUUUACAAUUAUAUUAAAGUAAAUUUUUUAACUUAGGAAGGCAUAACAAGUAGCAAUGCAAAUAUUUUGCAUUUUGAUGAUAGGAAUUACAAGAUUUCAAUUAGAUGGUAGUAUACAGGAGAACAUCUCUGUAAAAUGUAAACCACAAACCAUGUAUGUAAGUAAAAUGAGCCACUACAUAUAUGCCAUAUAUGACAGGAUAGCUGAACACAAAAGAAAGAAAUGUAUCACCACAGCUUUGUACAAAGAGAUCCAGAUUAUGAAUAGUGUUAAUUCAUUUUACUUCAAAAUAGAAAAAUGUCCCAUAAUGACGAUGAUGAUGGGAAUUAUAGUUGUGCUUUGUGUCAGCUUCUCUGCCUGUAUAAUACACGAUGUCUGUUCCUCACAGUAUGUCCGUAAAUGUUAAAACAACACUAGUACAGCAGGUAAUAUACGCAAUACACAUGAGUAGAGAGACCAUUUAAAAUCAGUACAAUGGAGAGAUUCUGAUAGUAAAACCAUGCCUUAAGUGGAAGACAUCCUGAGUAUUGCUUCCUCCUGAUUUGAGAUCCUGGGAACUCUGAAUGUUCAUUUACAUUAUUUCUACAUGACAAACUUAUCUUGAAAGUUACAUAAUGUCAUUAUCAUACUGUGAAACAAUACUACUAAUACACCCUGAAACCAAAAGGUACCUGAAAGAACCAAACUGAUAACACGUAUUACAGGAGAAUUCAAUCAAGAAAACAAACAAAUUAUGAGACAGAACUGCUAGUCAGUAGUUACCUUCACAAAUGGUAAAUGUACGGUACUGCUGACAGACAUACAUGGAAGUGUAACAGAUACAAUCUCUAGUUUUUGGAAUUAUUUCAUUCUCCAAUCUUAAAUCCUAUAAAUAGUUAUACUAAACAACAGUCUCAGAUAUCAGUAAAUAUAAAUGAACAAACUCCAUAAGAAGAUUAUCGAUUUUUCCAGCACGAGGUUACGGAUACACAAUUUCCAUUUAAAUUACAGGCUAUAAUACACAACAAUGUAUGUUCCAUUUUGUUACGUAAAGAUGUGUAGAAACAAAGUCCCUGGAGAACAAAUAGACUAUACGAAGGAUGAGAGAAAGGUAUGGCAAGAGAGCGAGCUGUGUGCAAGCGGGAGGAGAGUGGCCAGAUUAGUCGGAACAGGACGCCGGCAUGAGGCAGGGAAGUGCACGCUCACCACUGCUCUUCAUUGUGGUGACAGGUGAGUGCUCAGAGUGCCACGGGUAACUGGCGAAGGAAAGAUGAAAGCAGUGGUGUUUGCUGACACUAUUACCUGACUGAAAUGGGGGUAAGGACAAGAAGGCAAGUGGGUAGCACUAAGAGAGAAAAUAUUGAAGGCAGCAGAGGAUCAAAUAUGCAGAAAGACAAAACCUCAUGAAAAAUUGACGGCUAACACACAAGAUACUUAAUCUGAAUGAUGAAAUGACAAAAUAUAAAAAUGCAGCAAAAUAAGCAGGCGAAAGAGAAAAAUGUCUAAAAAAUUAGAAUGACAGAAAGUGCAAACUGCCUAACCAGGAACAGCUAGAUGAAAAAUGUAAGGCUGUAUGCACAAUCAUGAUUAGGGGAAAGACAGAUGCCACCAACAGGAAAAUUGAAGAGACCUUUGGUGAAAUAAGAAGCAACUGUAUGAAUAUCUAGAGCUGAGAUGGCAAUCUGGUACUAACAAGGGAACCUCCCCAUCGCACCCCCCUCAGAUUUAGUUAUAAGUUAGCACAGUGGAUAGGCCUUGAAAAACUGAACACAGAUCAAUCAAGAAAACAGGAAGAAGUUGUGUGGAACUAUGAAAGAAAAAGCAAAAUAUACUAACUGAGUAGUCUAUGUGCAAGAUAGGCAACAUCAAGGAGAGCGUAAGCCGAGGAGUGCCGUGGUCCCGUGGUUAGCGCGAGCAGCUGCGGGAUGACAGUUCCUAGGUUCAAGUCUUCGCUCGACUGAAAAUUUUACCUUCUUUAUUUUCGCAAUGUUAUGAUCUGUCCAUUCGUUCAUUGAUGUCUCUGUCCACUGUAAUAAGUUUAGUGUCUGUGUUUUGCAACCGCACAGCAAAACUGUGAGAUUAGUAGACGAAAGGACGUACCUCUCCAAUGGGAACCGAAAACAUUUGAUCGCAAGGCCAUGGGUCGACCGAUUCCUCCACAGGAAAACACGUCUGAUAUAUUCUAUACGACACUGUGACGGCUUGUGCGUCACAUGACAGGAAUAUGUUGUCGACCCACCUAACUUGUACACUUGGCAAAUGGGUAAAAAGAUUCUUCUACCUUGCCAAAUUUAGGUUUUCUUGUGGAUGUGAUAAUCACUCCCAAAACAGUGACGGACAGAUAAUAACUGUCUGAAAAUAAAAAAUUAAACUUUUCACUCGAGGGAAGAUUUGAACGACGGACCUCUCGUUCCACAGCUGCUCACGCUAACCACAGGACCACGGCGCUCCUGAGCUCAGACUAUCCUUGAUGUUACCUAUCUUGCGCAUGGACUACUCAGUUUGUAUAUUUUGCUUAUUUUGUUCGUAGUUCCACACAACGUCUUCCUGUUUUCUCAAUUGAUCUGUGUUCGGUUUUUGAAGCCCUAUCCACUGUGCCAACUUAUAACUAAAUCUGAGGGGGUGUGAUGGGGAGGUUCCCCUGUAAGGAAAGAAAGGAAAGCUGAAAGGUGAAAUGACUACACUGAAGUGCUAUAAAAGGGAAAUUAGCUCAAAGGCAAUAUUAUAGGAAUGGAAGAUACUAUACUGCAAGAGGAAUUUGAAGUAGCACUGAAAUAUGUAAGUUGAAAUGAGGCCCACAGAGCAGAUGACAUUCCCUUAAAAUUGCUGAGGUCCUUGGGACAGCCAGACAUGACAACACUAUUCCACCUGGUGAGCAAGAUAUAUGAGACAGGUGAAAUACUCUCAGCCUUCAAGAGGAAUAUAAUAAAUCCAAUUUCAAAGAAAGCAGGCACUGACAGGUGUGGAUACUACCAAACCAUUAAUUACAUAAGUCUUGAUUGCAAAAUAUUGACAGAAUUAUUCAAACAAGAAUGGAAAAAUCGGUAGAAGCCAACCUGAGGGAAGAAUUGGGUUGGAUUAUGGAGGAACAUACCAACACAGGAGGCAAUACUCACCUCACAACUUCCCUUACAAAAUAUGUUGAAGAUAGACAAACCUCUGUUUGCAGCAUUUUUAGAUUUGCAGGAAGCCUCAGACAACGUUGGCUGGAAUACAUUCUUUAACAUUCUGAAGGUAGCAAGGGUAAAAUACAGUAAGAGACAGGUUAUUUACAACUUGUACAAAAACCCACUACAGUUAUAAGACUUAAAAGACAUGAAAGAGAUGCAGUGGUUGACAAGGGAAUGAGGCAGGGUUGUAGCCUACCGGGGUUAAUAUUCUAUCUGUGCACUGAGCAAGUAGAGAAAGAAAACCGAGAAUAAAUUUGGACAGGGAAUUUACAUUUGGGGAGAAGAAAUGAAAACUUUCAGGUUUGCCAGUAACACAAAUUCAUCAGAGAUGUCAAAGUAUUUUGAAGAGCUGUCGAAUGAAACAGAUAUAGUCUCGAAAAGAGAUUGUAAGAUGAAUGCCGACAAAAUGGAAUUUAGUCAAAUCAACUGAUGCUGAGGGAGUUAGAUUAGGAAAUGAGAAACUAAUAGUAGUAAACACGUUUUGCUAUUUGUACAGCAAAAUAACUGAUGAUGGCCAAAGUGAAAAAUGAUAAAAUGCAGGUUAGCUAUCGGACAAAAAACAUUUUUGUAAAAAAGGGGAAUUUGUUAACAUUUAAUACAAAUUUAUGUGGCAGGAAUUCACACAAGAAAGGAAAAGAAGCUUUUGAAAUGUGGUGCUACAGAAAUAUGCCAAAGAUUAGAUGGAUAGUCUGAGUAACUAAUGAAGAGGAACUGAAUUGAACUGGGUAAAAAAAGAAAUUUAAGGCACAAUGUGACUAAGAGAAAGCAUCAGUUAAUAGGACCCAUCUUGAAGUGGCAAGGAAUCGUCAAUUUGGUAAUGGAAGGAAGUGUGGGUGGGUAAAACUUUGGAGGGAGACCAAGAGAUGAAUACAGUGAGAAGAUUCAAAUAGAUGUAGGUUGCAGUGAUUAUACAGAGAUAAAAAGGCACACGAUAAAGCAGGAUGGAGAGCAGCACCAAAACAGUCUUCAGACUUAGGCCACUGCCGACAACAAAAACAACAACAAAUCUGACAGAGUAUAUGUCCUAAGGAGAAAAAUGAUUGAACAUCGCCAGGCAAUUAGAGUCUGUCCACUAUUAAGAUGCUACAAAAAUAAUUAGGAAGUUGCUGUAUUUGGUAAUUACAAUAGUGAUCUCAAAAUAGUUCUAAUAAAGAGCAAUUAGAGUUACUGAUGACCAACUUCGGGUUAUUCCCCACAGCAACAUUCUCAACAAGGAAAGGACACAGCCCAACAGCAAUUGAUAAUUAAUUUCAAAAUCCUAUUGUAUUUCAUGAAACAAAUGUGAGACCCAUAAUAAACAAUUGGUCUGACUGUGAUGGCUAAAUGUCAGGAUUCAUCCAGCCAUCAUCAAUCAGUUUUAGCGAAGAAGGUAAAAGCAUACAAUAUUAUGAAAACGAAUGUUGCUACUCACGAUCUAGUGGAGAUGCUGAGUUGCAGAUAGUCACAACAAAAAGACUGUUACAAAUUAGCUUUUGGCCAGAAUGGCCUUUAUCAAAAAUACACACCCCCUCCCCACAUUCUGGGCAGUGUGGCUUCAGUUGCCAGAGAUUGCAGUCAUGUGUUUGUGAGUUGCGUGAACGUGUGUGUGUGUGUGUGUGUGUGGGGGGGGGGGGGGGGGAUCUGGUUUUGACAAAGGCCAUACUGGCUGAAAGCUAAUUUGUGAUAGUCUUUUUGUUGUGCCUAUCUGCAACUCAGCAUCUCCACUAUAUGGUGAGUAGCAACUUUCCUUUUCAUAAUAUUGUUACGAGGGUGGUUUGAAAAGUUCUUGGAAUCACGACGAGGUCUGUGCUAGUGCAAUGAGUUGUUUGUAUGAUAUUCAUUGGACUAUUGCCUGUAAACACGUGCCACAUCAGUUCUCUUGGAAGAGAGCUGCAGUGGUGAUGUGGCUAUGUUGUUGUUCCCAUGUAGUGAUUUGCGAAAAUGG